CGGGAACAUUAAAAUUGCGGAAGUAAAACUGAUCUUUUACACGAGUAGUUUGAAGGAAAUACCAAAUAUACAUGAUUUAAUUAAACUGAAUAAGCUGUCUUAAUGUAACCGUUAAUAAGUUUACAUCAGAACCAUGAUAACCGAUAAUUACAUGUACAUAUGGCAUAAUCCUAUACAGAAUCUUCCUUGAGUCUAACACAGAUAACCAUUGAGUAGACUUCCAUAAGCCUUGUUGAACCGUC
rnacentral:lncRNA from 1 species